GACGAACGCUGGCGGCGUGCUUAACACAUGCAAGUCGAACGGAAAGGCCCUGCUUUUGUGGGGUGCUCGAGUGGCGAACGGGUGAGUAACACGUGAGUAACCUGCCCUUGACUUUGGGAUAACUUCAGGAAACUGGGGCUAAUACCGGAUAGGAGCUCCUGCUGCAUGGUGGGGGUUGGAAAGUUUCGGCGGUUGGGGAUGGACUCGCGGCUUAUCAGCUUGUUGGUGGGGUAGUGGCUUACCAAGGCUUUGACGGGUAGCCGGCCUGAGAGGGUGACCGGCCACAUUGGGACUGAGAUACGGCCCAGACUCCUACGGGAGGCAGCAGUGGGGAAUAUUGCACAAUGGGCGGAAGCCGGAUGCAGCAACGCCGCGUGCGGGAUGACGGCCUUCGGGUUGUAAACCGCUUUCGCCUGUGACGAAGCGUGAGUGACGGUAAUGGGUAAAGGAGCACCGGCUAACUACGU
rnacentral:rRNA from 1 species